UUUGCCUCCGGUUUCCAACAUUUCUUCUGUCAUUCUCAAAAUCCUCGAGAAUUCACUGCCCUCGUAUCGAUUCAAUUAUUAGCGAUCAAUUGCUCCAAAUCCAACUAAUUCCUCUAAACAGAUUGAAGGAGUUUGCUGACGAAUAAAGGAGUAUAUUUGAAGUGAAUGAGGAGCUACACCGAAUUGAGUUCCGUUGAAAUUUGGAAGCUUCACUAGAAUAUUCUACAUCAGAUGAAGAUCUGGAGUAGCAAGAUCUCAAAUAUAUCUAGAAGAAGGAAGUUAUAGUAAAUGAUGCUCUUGAUGAUAACAAGCUCAUUGCAUCAUCUUGACUUUGCUGUUUUGCUUUGAUCAACUCAAAUCCAUGGUUGUCGCAUAAAAAGGCAAUACUAGCGCUAUCUUUUUCCAAAUUGGAGGGAGCUGUAAUGGAAGUCAUGAGCAAGUUCUUAAUUGCAUCGGCAUUUAUGUGGACCGUGCCUAUUGCAGUUUUAUAUGGGUUCAACCAUAAUUUCUUCCCUGGUUCAGCUAGUUUGUCCCAGGAAGCCCUGACAUUGUGGAGUGGAAUCCUUGCAGUGAUCUCCGUAAAUGUGGUUAUCGUAUUGUACAUCAUCUCGGCCAUGAAAGAGCCCCCGUUGGAGAAACACGAGCCGGAUCCUAGAUUCGUAGCAGAUGCAAAGGCUAGCAUAAAGCAGCAGCUGGGACCAACUGAAGUCGACCCAUCAUCAGACCGUGCAAAACAAGAAUAGCUGAUGUUAUCUUAGUACAAGGUAGUUUCAGCUCUGAUUUUCUCAGAGGAGCCAUACGUAUAAUGAGCAGGAGCCCUUGACAAACGAGCACCGAGAUUAUCGAUAGGUUCGACCUGCUUCAUUUCCAUGAUCAGAGUUUGUGUAUGAGGCUAGAAGUCUGGUGUUUGGUCUUGAUUUACCUUGGCCCAUUUUUAUUUAUUUUCAUGAUUUUUCUUAAUUUUUGUUUGGAUAUGGAAUUCAGUUACCACUCAGCGUUUUUGUAGUUGAUAUUUAUAAAAGUAAUGAGCAUAUUAGACUCCCAUUCCUCUACAUGAAUCAUAACAUACCUAUUUUAAAUUCUUCUUUUAUGCGGCAUCUCUCUCUCUCUCCAAGUUAUGUUGAAGUGAACGAGCUAAACCAGAGGAGUAAAGCUCAGAGAAGUUGACCGUUGGAGUCGACCGUUGGAAACCGUUGAAGAUAUUUUGAGUUAGUUAGUCGGUUGAGUAGUUAGUUAGGAAUGAGCUGGCUUUUGCGCCUUUCAUUUGUUCCUUCUUAGCUAGAGUAUAAAAGUGGGUUGUAGUAGCUUAUAAAACUUGAUUUUCAAUAUAGAAAUAAAAUUCCUUUGUUUCGUUUUC